ACGGCGCGCUGAUCGGCUCCUGUUCGCCAACAAAAGCAGGAGAGACACGGUCGGAUUCGGUGUCCUAUCCGGCGUCCGACGGGCCGGAUCGGCAGCCGGAAACGAGGUGUUUUGCCGUGCCGAAGUGCCAAAUCAGACGUCUGGCGUGCGACAAACUGGACUGAUUUGCAUCGUUCGAUGCGUCCGACAACCGCACCGUCGUCUGGCCGCAGCCAAUGACAGCGCGAAUGAUUUUAACACCUUCAGUGUGUUCACUUCAGCACAGGAUAACCCACCGGCUUGUAUACCCCGGCGACGACUUCUCCACGACUUCGCUCCGACGGAGACCAGGUGACAAGCUGUGACAGUAACGCUGCCUCAAUUGGCACGCAUCAAAUGGCACAGCCGCCGCGAGAUCACCGAAAGCAGCCUGGAGCUAAUAGCGGAAUUUAUUCACUGACCGAGGGUGGCGCUGGAAAUGGUUCUGCAAGGCAGGAAGCAAACAGAGAGCCUCUUGUGGAGCA